UCCAAUCACUCACAAAGUUGUUAGUUUCUUCUAUAGUUUUUUUUUCCUUUUUCAGAUUUCAAAUUAAUAUCAAGAAAGUGUUUUGAAUAUUGAUUAUAUAUUUUUUUCUAAUUGAGAUAACACAGAGAAAAUUAAAACUAGAGAGGUUGUAUGCUAGCUAAUUCAAACACUCACAGGGCCUCUCUUUCUCAUGCUCUCCUCUUUCCCUCGCCUCUCUCAAAUUCGCACCUCAUUGAAGCCUCUCUCGGAGUAGCUCAAGAGUGGGUAUAAGUCUUGGUUUCUCCCCUUGUUGCUGAUCUGGUUCUUCGAUCCCCUAUUUCACAAUCAGUUAAAACUUUUCUGGAUGGUUGCCUCCAAGAGAAGAGGCAAGAUACUUUGUGUGCAAGCAAUCUUUCACGGGAGACUCUUACUUUUGUUUGCAUUUUGCAAGUGGUAUGCCUUUUACCUUUGUUUUAAUAUUAUGCUAAUGUUAGAUGAGUUUGAAUAUCUUAAAUAUUCAUCCAUAGUGAAGU